CCUACGGGAGGCAGCAGUGGGGAAUUUUGGACAAUGGGGGCAACCCUGAUCCAGCAACGCCGCGUGAAUGAAGAAGGCCUUAGGGUUGUAAAGUUCUUUUGUCUGGGAGCAAAAGUUAUGGGGUAAUAUACCAUGAUUAUGAGAGUACCAGAAGAAUAAGCACCGGCUAACUACGUGCCAGCAGCCGCGGUAAUACGUAGGGUGCGAGCGUUAAUCGGAAUUACUGGGCGUAAAGAGUGCGUAGGCGGAUAAACAAGUUAGAUGUGAAAUCCCCGGGCUCAACCUGGGAAUGGCAUUUAAGACUGUGUGUCUAGAGUUUGUGAGAGGGUGGUAGAAUUCCAAGUGUAGCAGUGAAAUGCGUAGAGAUUUGGAGGAAUACCGAUGGCGAAGGCAGCCACCUGGGAUAGAACUGACGCUGAGGCACGAAAGCGUGGGGAGCAAACAGGAUUAGAUACCCUGGUAGUCCACGCCCUAAACGAUGUCUACUUGCUGUUGGAGGGUGAAACCUUAAGUAGCGAAGCUAACGCGAGAAGUAGACCGCCUGGGGAGUACGGUCGCAAGCAUA
rnacentral:rRNA from 1 species